CUUCCAAGCUCUCCCUCUCUAGAUAACACUGCCUUCCAAGCUCUCCCUCUCUGGAUAACACUGCCUUCCAAGCUCUCCCUCUCUGGAUAACACUGCCUUCCAAGCUCUCCCUCUCUGGAUAACACUGCCUUCCAAGCUCUCCCUCUCUGGAUAACACUGCCUUCCAAGCUCUCCCUCUCUAGAUAACACUGCCUUCCAAGCUCUCCCUCUCUGGAUAACACUGCCUUCCAAGCUCUCCCUCUCUGGAUAACACUGCCUUCCAAGCUCUCCCUCUCUGGAUAACACUGCCUUCCAAGCUCUCCCUCUCUAUGGGUACGGCCACACUGCAUGCUGUUUGCCGGGAGGGUAGAGGGCAGCGGGAUGCCUAGCAGGUCAGAGGCAAGAACAAACACGUUAUCUAAUACGAGUGGCCAUACAGGACGCGGGUAGCGGGUAAGCUUGGAGGAAACCCGCUACCCGUGUCUGGUAUCGCCACUCGUAUUAGAUAACGUGUUUGUUCUUGCCUCUGACCUGCUAGGCAUCCCGCUACCCUCUACACUCUACCUCGUGCAGUGUGUCCGCAGCCUAAGACUCGUCAGGCACUACCAACUCGGGAAACUCAUCAACAGCUCCGUAACACUUGCUUCACCUCCAGUUUCUCUUUCUUGGUCUAUUUGCACCACACUGUUACUGGCAAAUAACUACUGUGUUGGGUGUAGCCACUAACCCUUAGAAGUGGUUCGCAGAAAGCUGGAAGUGGAUAGCAUCUGACUGAUAGUGUUGGAAUGGAUGGCAAGGGAGGGGCCCAGGGAGACCUUGUAACAUGGGGAAAGUUAUCUAAGCAAUGUUGGAAGUAGCCAUUAGGUAAUUCUCGGUAUCUGGCAUGUACUGCUGUGUGGUGGGGGUCAUGUGUCCCUCCUCGCACAGUGUAUGCCCCCAAUGACUGAUGACAAGGGAAUGGUGUUGAGAGGGAAAGCUUGUAGUCAGGGCAUAGGGAGAGAGCCAUUGACUGAUGCUGAGGGAAUGGUGUAGACAGGGACAGACCCAUUGACGCUGAGGGAAUGGUGUAGACAGGGCAUAGGUAAAGGGCAAGUUCUCAGGGCUCCAUACACGACUUUAAUACUCAGAUCACGGGACAAAAAUGCUGGAUAAUCGAGAUGAAACACAAAAAUAUCUGCACUACGGCAAUGUUUACAAGUACAGCCCUCAUGGAGACUUGUGAUGUGUUCUUCCUAUGUCCUUACAGUGAACUAUGGCUGCAUGGGUGAGGCGUGGCAGUGAGAAUGAACAUGGAUGAGGAUGGAUGGGACAGAGGAGGAGUGGGAUGUGAGGUGAUUGAGAUAAGUGUGAGAUGAUUUUGGACAUGUGCUAAGACUGUUUGGAUAUGGAAGGUUAACAGGAGUGGGUGGGAUGUGAGGUGAGUGAGGUGUGAGAUGAUUUGGACAUGUGCUAAGAUUGUGUUGGGGUAUGGAAGGUUGACAGGAAGAGUGGAUGGGUGGAUGGUAAGGCGGAUUACUGAGAUGGUCUGGACAUGUGCUGAGAUUGAAUGUGUGGCAAGUGGAAUGGAUUGUGGAAGGGUGUGGGUGGGUGGGUGGAGUGAGGUGUGAGCUCUGAGAUGAUUUGGACAUGUGCUGAGAAUGAGUGUGUGUGGAAGGGUUAGUGUGGAUCAGACAGGAAGAGGAGUGGAAUGUGGAGGGGGUGGAAGGGUAGGGUGCAGUACUGAGGUGGUUUUGGAUAUGUGCUGACAAUGAAAUGGGUGUGCGUGGAAGGGUUUAGUGUGGGUCAGACAGGGAGAGGAGUGAGAUGUGGAGGGGGCAGAAGGGUGGAUGGGUGAGGUGUGGAGCUCUGAGAUGUUUGGGAAAUGGAGUGAGAAUGGAUGUAUAUGGAAGGUUUAGUGUGGGUGUGACAAGUGGAAUGGGGUGUGGAGGGGGUGGAUGAAUGAGAUGGAUUGGACAUGUGCUAAGAAUGUGUGUGUGUGUGUGUGUGUGUGUGUGUGUGUGUGUGUGUGUGUGUGUGUGUCUCUCUCUCUCUCUCUCUCUCUCUCUCUCUCUCUCUCAGCUCACAGGACCCACAGAUGUCACCCCACAGUAUGUUUACAAACCCCACAGAUACAUGCCCCCCAGACACAUAAAGGACCCCCUCCCUCCCUCCCUCUCCGCUCAUAUGUCAAUCCAUGUAUCCCUCACCCACCCCGAUAGAUAGAUAGAUAGAGAGAGAGGCAGGGUUAUCUUUCUCAUUCCCUCUGCACAGUUGUGGGUUGCAUUCUGGGCUGUCGAGGAAUGUUUUUAAAUAGGGCAGGAAUUUAACAUUAGCAGGAGUCUCUGUUUCGUGACCCCUGUGAGUGUUAAGGGGUGACCGUACAUGUCUGGUGGUGAUAUGUAAAGGGUUCAGCUUGUUCUCUUUCACCACGGAAGAACAGUGGGAGUGUCACAGCCUCAAGACAGGGUGAGCGCAGCGAUGGGUUCC